rnacentral:rRNA from 1 species
GAUCAUGGCUCGAGAACGAACGCUGGCGGCAUGGAUUAGGCAUGCAAGUCGAACGAAGUAGCAAUACUUAGUGGCGCAAGGGUGAGGAACACGUGAGUGACCUACCCGCAAGUUUGGAACAGCUCCUGGAAACGGGAAUUAAUACCGGAUGUGAUCAUAUUACUGCAUGGUGAUAUGAUUAAAGCAGCAAUGCGCUUGCGGAUGGGCUCGCGUCCCAUUAGCUAGUUGGUGAGGUAACGGCCCACCAAGGCCAUGAUGGGUAGCUGGUCUGAGAGGACGACCAGCCACACUGGGACUGAGAACUGCCCAGACUCCUACGGGAGGCUGCAGUCGAGUAAGUUUUGGGCAAUGGACGAAAGUCUUGACCCAGCAAUGCCGCGUGCGGGAUGAAGGUCUUCGGAUUGUAAACCGCUGUUUGGAGGGACGAAAAUUGACGGUACUUCCAGAGGAAGCCACGGCUAACUACGUGCCAGCAGCGGC